UGGGGAAUCUUGCACAAUGGGGGAAACCCUGAUGCAGCGACGCCGCGUGAGCGAUGAAGGUUUUCGAAUCGUAAAGCUCUGUCCUAUGGGAAGAUAAUGACGGUACCAUAGGAGGAAGCCCCGGCUAACUACGUGCCAGCAGCCGCGGUAAUACGUAGGGGGCGAGCGUUGUCCGGAAUUACUGGGCGUAAAGGGUUCGCAGGCGGCAUGACAAGUCCGAUGUAAAAGGCGAAAGCUCAACUUUCGUAAGCAUCGGAAACUGUCAAGCUUGAGUGGAGGAGAGGCAAGUGGAAUUCCUAGUGUAGCGGUGGAAUGCGUAGAUAUUAGGAGGAAUACCGGUGGCGAAGGCGACUUGCUGGACUUCAACUGACGCGGAGGAACGAAAGCGUGGGUAGCAAACAGG
rnacentral:rRNA from 1 species